ACUUGACGUAUAACAGGAAUAUCUGAUGAAUGGAAAUGGCCAAAGGAUGGGAAGCAAAAGAACUAGAAACCCCACCAGCUGACUAAUCAAACCUUGAAGAAUACAGUAUUGGCAAAUACACUUGGUACCUAAGUCAAGGUGGAGAAGACAGGGAUGAGUGUCUCCAGUGACUGACUGACACAGAUCAACAAACAGGAUCAUCAU
rnacentral:lncRNA from 1 species